ensembl:snRNA U6 U6 spliceosomal RNA
GUGCUCGCUUAGGUUGCACAUAUACUAAAAUUGGAAUAACACAGAGAAGAUUAGCAUGGCCCAUGCACAAAGAUGACAUGCAAAUUCAUGAAGCAUUCCAUAUUUUU